rnacentral:antisense_RNA from 1 species
CAGGCCAGAUAUAAAAAAGAAAAAUCUCAUGCAUACUUCAGCCUUCCGGUUCCCUGGAGCAACGAAGGCUGUUUUUUCGUUACACCUUUCCCCGGCAGCGCCUCCGGCACCGUUCAGCCCGCUGUUGUGCAAACUGUUGCCAGUCUGUCCGGGGAGCAGACUGCGCAGCCCGUAGCCAUGCCU